rnacentral:rRNA from 1 species
UGGGGAAUUUUGGACAAUGGGCGAAAGCCUGGUCCAGCAAUGCCGCGUGUGUGAAGAAGGCCUUCGGGUUGUAAAGCACUUUUGUCCGGAAAGAAAUCCUUGGCUCUAAUACAGUCGGGGGAUGACGGUACCGGAAGAAUAAGCACCGGCUAACUACGUGCCAGCAGCCGCGGUAAUACGUAUGGUGCAAGCGUUAAUCGGAAUUACUGGGCGUAAAGCGUGCGCAGGCGGUUUGCUAAGACCGAUGUGAAAUCCCCGGGCUCAACCUGGGAACUGCAUUGGUGACUGGCAGGCUAGAGUAUGGCAGAGGGGGGUAGAAUUCCACGUGUAGCAGUGAAAUGCGUAGAGAUGUGGAGGAAUACCGAUGGCGAAGGCAGCCCCCUGGGCCAAUACUGACGCUCAUGCACGAAAGCGUGGGGAGCAAACAGGAUUAGAUACCCUGGUAGUCCACGCCCUAAAACGAUGUCAACUAGUUGUUGGGGAUUCAUUUCCUUAGUAACGUAGCUAACGCGUGAAGUUGACCGCCUGGGGAGUACGGUCGCAAGAUUAAAACUUAAAUGAAUUGACGGGGUCAUAGCUGUUUCCU